CGCUGGUGAAUUUUUUGGCUGGUUCGUUUCUUUUGCAUGUGGCUAUGCUCUGGUCACCGAAGCGACGAGUCGUUUACUAUUGAGCCUUCUAUAUAACAGACGAGCAGUCGAGAAGCACAGACGCUUCGUAUCGAUUCAUAUUACCAUCACCUCUCCAUCAUAUUUUUAACUAAUCCUCCUAUCUUAAUCGACAUCUAACAUGGUUGUUUGUAUAUGCAGAUCCCUUCGAGCUCCGGUGCGCACAACCUCAUCCACCAAAGAUAGAGUUUGAUGUCGUCCACCACAAUACGCAUGGAUGGCGCCGCUGCCCGCCUGCUACGCGUCGCUGACACCCACAACGCCUCCCAGGUCCCCGGCGUCGGCUUUGCCUGACCAUGGAGAAGCGCCUGGACAGCGCCAGCGCUCCUCGGUGCCACGCAUCGGUUUCUUCCGGACAUCCACUUCCAACGGCCAGCAUCGGCUUCGGCCGGCAGCGGAUGCCCUCCACCCCCACCCCGCGCCCGUCACAUCUCCUCCUAGGAUCUUGCUGCUAAUCCUCGUCUAGCCCCUCCUUCCUUUGCUUCGGCAUGGAGCCCGACGAGCCGUUCAGCGUGUCUUGCAGUGGUAGAGUAAGAAUAGGUGUUCUUUAUUCUCAGGUUGUGCUUGACUCACAAAGUACUUGAAUUAGUUUCACCCACAUAGAUAACUUGACCUUGCAUAUAUACUAUAGGUACAAAAUCCGCCAGAGUGAUUCACGACUGGUCUAACUGCUCCCCACGGCAAGAUAUUAAGUCCCAGAACUAAGGUUACUUUUGUCUAGAUUAUGGGGUAAAAAAAACUUUUGUAUGGAUUAGUUCUCUUCCAAUGAUUCUCAUGUUUAAUGUUGUGAGUUACUUCCACAUAUGUGCACACCCGAGAGUGUUGACAAGUAUAGGUCUGAACAGUUGAAGGAAGAUGAUAUAAAAAUAGUUGAAGGAAGGUCAACAUAUUUUU